rnacentral:lncRNA from 1 species
GCUAUUCAUUCUCGUUGUCGGUCCGUUACAAAGGAUACCUGACCUUGCUACCCAACAUGCCAUCCUCACACCGCUGCCUCUAGCGCAUUGGCAAAAUGUAACAAAAUUUUGAACCGUCCAGCAGGUGAAUAAAUAUGCUUCUGUUUCUACCACAUUCACAGGUGAAUAACAAAUUCAGACAAAUAAGCACAAUUAAAGGUUAAAUGAGGGGGUUAACGAACAAAAUUAGAACCGGGGUUCGAACUGGUCAGGUAGCUCCUCCCUCGCAGAGUCUAGUCAGCUGCGCUAUGGUAGCCAUCAAGAACUAGAAAAUCCUCAUAUCUGAUUAACAAAAUUCCACAGUGCACAGGACAAAAAAACAUCAAAAUGAAUAUGGCGUGGCUGGUGGUUGGUGAGGCACCUGCAGAUGGAGUAGCCGAGUAGGUCUUCUAGGAGUGGACACCAAGCGAGUGCAGCUACUUUCCUCCUGCACGCCUGCCCUAGCACCACCUAACCCUUCAGCCCCGCUUGUCCCAGCAGCUCUAGCUGCCUCGAUUCCUCUGGGAAUGAAUCAGCACGUCGCCGGAAUUGUGAGGAGGAGGAGGAGGAGGAGAGGAGCCGACACCGGUGAGUAGGAGCAGCCGCCGCCGCCUGCCGCCGUAGCCGUGUCCUGCACAACACGGAGGCGGCUCCCUUCGUCAUGCACAACAUGAAGGCGGCUCCCUUCGCGAAGACGACGAAAU